UCCAUUGCACCAUUCUCAACUCUCACCAGCCUGCCCCUUUAUCAAUUCACUUCUGUGUUCCUGGUACCGGGAUGCGAAUAGAAAUAAAUAUGAUCCCAGACUUCAAGGAGCUCAGUCGGGGCAGUAACACAGAGAAGGCGACAUGAAGACAUCAGAAACGAGUAGAAAAAGUGGGAAGGAAAGAGUGAGUGAUGUUUUGUGGGCAAUGGUGGUACACAGAAGAUGUUUUCAUUGAGCCUUGAAUAAGAGCAGAAAUCUUCCAAGAGGCCACAGGUGAGGAGAACAGUGGUGUCGAGGUAGCGUUCGAUGACCUCCUGAUGUCUGUGUUUGCAACCGAAUUCUGGUUGUAAGUGUUGGACACCCCACAUGGUAGGUCAUUGUUUCACUCCAUCGCUUCAUGUCCAUUUUCCUCACUCAUUCAUCCAGCAGAUACGUAAGUGCCGUGUUAGGCCACGUAUUUAGGCCAGCCCCGGAGAUCUAAAGAAAAGCAAGCCUUUGCCUUCCAAAAGUUCGUAUCUGAGAGAGACAGAGAGAGAGCGUGCGCGCGCAAGAGAGUUCAUUACCAAACAGCAUCCCAUGUCAGGUUUCUUCGGUCGCCUUUUCUCCACUCCUGUGUCAACUUUUUGUGAAUAUCAUUGCCGCCAUGUUGUUGAGUACCAACAUAAGAGACUCUCCAUUCAUUUGCUGGCACACCUGAAACUUUCUAAAAUACCAUAAGAUUCAGGAAUUUUUCCUGUUUACCUUGUGCUGUCCUCUCUACCUCACCCCAUGCACAACUGAAAUGUACGUUCUACAAAGCAAAGAUUUCUCAUUCUCUGGUUGACUGACUAUCUCAAGCACCUAGAACAGCAUCCGGCAUAUAAUAUAUACUCAACAAACAACUUCUUCGUGAAGAAAUGAUUUUUUUUAACGCUUCUGGUAUGGAAAAUGCCAAACAUAAAUAGAAGUGGUGAACAGUACAAUAAAUUCCUAAGAACCACCACCCAAGUCAACAGU